rnacentral:lncRNA from 1 species
AAAAAGCAUCGCCAGAAGUGCUCAUUCCCACCUGGGCCGCUAAAUGUGCAUAAAGGACUCGUGCAGAGGUGCGUGCGUAUAAUGUGUGAGUUACAGAGCUAUUAUUAUCUAAAGUCAGAGCCAAUCAUAAGCAAGCAGCUGGUACGUAGUUACUAUCACAGUGGAGUGUGAACAGAAGUGGGGUUGGGGUUUUUUGAGAGCCUGACUGCAGUUGACUGAGAACAGAAACACAGAAGCUAGAUUUACCUGGUCCAUGUCUACAGAGUGUGCAAAGCCUUAUACAAAACAAAAGUUGUCUAUUGCAGCCCAAGCAAGAGAAAGUCAGAUAAUAAGCAGAAGGAUUACGCCACAUCUGGAUGUAUUGCCUUCCAUGACAAAGGAGGUGUUUUCCUGUGCUUUCACCACUCAUAUUGCUACAUCAUGUGUAAAAAAUGUAGCAUUUCAGAGGUAACCUUAUUAUACUGGAUAUGAAGCAGGAAAAAAGAGACAUUGGUCAGGUGAAAGAAUAUAUAUAUAAAAUGGAUUCAGCAGCUAAUAUUGAAGACAGCAAUAUAUACGCAAAGAAAAAAAUAAGUCAGAGAACAGAGACAAGUCUAAAAGAAACACCAUUGAGGGGUGUUUCUUUUCAAAGAAACAAUGAAGGGGGAAAUUUCUUAGACCAAUAAACCCACAUGUUCUACUGGGAUGUGGAAAAUG